GCCUGAGUGACGAAAUUGGUAGACGUAGCGGAUUCAAAAUCCGCCGAUGAAUAAUUGUGUCGGUUCGAGUCCGACCUCAGGCACCA
rnacentral:tRNA from 1 species